rnacentral:rRNA from 1 species
GUUCUCUUAGCUAUGUUGAGACGCGGCAUACGGCUCAUUUAACACGUGGCUAACCUACCCUCAGGACGGGGACAAACCCGGGAAACUGGGGCUAAUAUCCGAUAGGUGAGGAUGCCUGGAAUGGUUUCUCACUCAAAGGGCUUUAGGAACAUGCUUCUAAAGUCGCCUGGGGAUGGGGCCGCGACCGAUCAGGUUGUUGGUGAGGUAAUGGCUCACCAAGCCUAUAACCGGUACGGGCCGUGAGAGCGGUAGCCCGGAGAUGGGUACUGAGACAAGGACCCCGGCCCUACGGGGCGCAGCAGUCGCGAAAACUCCGCAAUGCACGAAAGUGUGACGGGGCUACCCCGAGUGCCAUCCGCUGAGGUUGGCUUUUCCUUGGUAUAACUAGCCAGGGGAAUAAGGAGAGGGCAAGACUGGUGUCAGCCGCCGCGGUAAUACCAGCUCUCCGAGUGGUAGGGAUGAUUAUUGGGCUUAAAGCGUCCGUAGCCGGCUUAGCAAGUCUCCUGUUAAAUUCAGCGACCUAAUCGUUGAGCCGCGGGAGAUACUACUAGGCUAGGAGGCGGGAGAGGUCGACGGUACUUCUGGGGUAGGGGUGAAAUCCUAUAAUCCCGGGAGGACCACCAGUGGCGAAGGCUGUCGACUAGAACGCGCUCGACGGUGAGGGACGAAAGCUGGGGGAGCGAACCGGAUUAGAUACCCGGGUAGUCCCAGCCGUAAACGAUGCGGGCUAGGUGUUGGGGUGGCUACGUGCCACUUCAGUGCCGCAGGGAAGCCAUUAAGCCCGCCGCCUGGGGAGUACGGCCGCAAGGCUGAAACUUAAAGGAAUUGGCGGGGGAGCACCACAAGGCGUGAAGCUUGCGGUUCAAUUGGAUUCAACGCCGGG